GUGAGGAAUAUUGCGCAAUGGAGGCAACUCUGACGCAGCCAUGCCGCGUGCAGGAAGAAGGCGCUACGCGUUGUAAACUGCUUUUAACCGGGAAGAAACCCCAGGACGUGUCCUGGGUUGACGGUACCGGAGGAAUAAGCACCGGCUAACUUCGUGCCAGCAGCCGCGGUAAUACGAAGGGUGCAAGCGUUAUCCGGAUUCAUUGGGUUUAAAGGGUGCGUAGGCGGAGCGUUAAGUCAGUGGUGAAAUCCUGCAGCUUAGCUGUAGACUUGCCAUUGAUACUGGCGCUCUUGAGUGCGCUUGAAGUGGGCGGAAUGUGCCGUGUAGCGGUGAAAUGCUUAGAUAUGGCACAGAACACCAAUUGCGAAGGCAGCUCACUAAGGCGAUACUGACGCUGAGGCACGAAAGCGUGGGGAUCGAACAGGAUUAGAAACCCGAGUAGUCC
rnacentral:rRNA from 1 species